AAAUCCAUACCCUUUCAUUUUAACCCUAAUUUUGUAACCGGAAAUUGAGCAGAGCCAACAAUCAAUCUCUACCAUCAGCUCUGAGAUUACAAGCACGGUAUGUUUUACUAUGAAACUUCAUUUUUUUCUGGAUUAUAGUAUUCUUAAAUAGUUUCAUUGGUCUCUUUCUGCGAAACACAUAUCUGGCUAUGGAACAACGAAGAAUCAGAAAUUGACGGUCAUUUUCUCCAACAACUUAGGUAAACAUAAGUCUGUUCCUCCCCCGAUCGAUUUCAGUAAACCCUCCGAAUCUAACACUCAACUGCUUCAUCAUCAAGGAAAUAAGCAUGCUAAUAGUUUGACCGUGAAACGUAUCUAAAGAAAAUUAAGAAAAGGACGGUGUGAUUCAAUCGUAAAAGCUCGAUUAAUAUGUGAAUUGGUUUGGAAUGUGCAUAAGCUGAGACAGUUGACGCCUACAACUUGAUAUAGUAGUCCCUGAGACUAUUAGUGGGAAAAAAAUACAUGUGUCUGUAUGAAUCUGUUGGAUGACAAUACCUGUUUGAACAUGUAAUCCAAAUAUAUAUUAGCACUUAAUUGUUUUUCAAGUUAUCAAACUAACGAUUUACUAUCUGUAUGAAUUUAUGAAUUUAUGGAUUUAUGGUCACAGUCUUGGAAUUUGUAUAA